rnacentral:misc_RNA from 1 species
GGUUGGAUCAUUACCAAUCGAAGGGAGUUAAGCAAAGUGUUUUGGGGUGGUUUUUUUUUGGAGUAAUCCGAUUGAACCCUCUUCUUACACCUAGCUUUGCUUCUUUUAUUAACCCCUUGUGAACCAUGAACGUAUUUUGGUAGCCUGCCUUUUUUUAGGCUGCCAGCCUGUAAACAAACCCAAAGUCAUUUUGUAUUAUUACAUGUCUCCAUUAGAUUCUUUAAAAAGUGAAUCUAGUUUUUUAACAAAACGUAAACAACUUUUGACAACGGAUCUCUUGGCUCUCGCAACGAUGAAGAACGUAGCGAAUUGCGAUAAGUAAUGUGAAUUGCAGAAUUCAGUGAAUCAUCAAAUUUUUGAACGCAUAUUGCGCUCUCUGGUAUUCCGGGGAGCAUGCUUGUUUGAGAACCGUUUCAAUUUCUCACGGCCUCGAGUGUUUAUUCGCUUUGUUGGUCGUGGAUCUGGUUGUUUUCUCAUUUAUUGUGGAAUCAACUGAAAUUCAGUGAUCGGAGUUUUCCGUGCGCAUUCAAGGUUAUGGACCGAGAACAGUCGCCAGAACGCCUAGCUAACCGAUAAAGACGUGGAUAAUGUGGGAUUCAUUUCUCCUUUCACCGUCCAAGGUAUCCGCUUUUAGUUUUGGAAGUACCAAAGAAGGACCAUUUCACCCCAAACUUGAACUACGCUAAUGUUCCAACAUGAACGGAAUUCAUACGGCCCAUACCUAAACAUGCCAGGCGGUGUUAGUCACACCGAACACCUGAACAUUUGGUCUCAAAUCAAGCAAGAGAACCCGCUGAACUUAAGCAUAUCAAUAAGCGGAGGAAAAGAAACCAACAGGGAUUCCCCUAGUAACGGCGAGUGAAGCGGGAACAGCUCAAUUUUAAAAUCUCACAGGUUUCCUGUGCGAAUUGUAGUUUCAAGAAGCGUUUUCGGGGAUGGCUUGGACCCAAGUUUGUUGGAACGCGACGCCAUAGAGGGUGAGAGCCCCGUUGGGUGUUUUGUCCAUUCCUGUAUGAUACGUUUUCAAAGAGUCGGAUAGUUUGGGAAUGCUGUCCAAAAUGGGUGGUAAAUACCAUCUAAAGCUAAAUACAGGCGAGAGACCGAUAGCGAACAAGUACCGUGAGGGAAAGAUGAAAAGAACUUUGAAAAGAGAGUUAAACAGUACGUGAAAUUGUCAAAAGGGAAACGCUUGAAACCAGUAUUGGGCGACGCAAAUCAGCCUCUUUUGGUGCAUUUUGUGUUGUCCGGGUCAGCAUCAGUUUGGUUUGGAGUAAAAAGCGCGUGGAAGGUAGUCCCUCGGGAUGUUAUAGCCGCGCGUCAUGCUCUGGACUGGACUGAGGACUGCAGCUCGCAUGGGGAAUACGCCGCCUUGACUUGCGCAUUUGUAAACAACUUGUUGAUUGCUCGUGUUGCAUGAGAGCCCGGUGUAGUACCACUCUGAGCUUAGGAUGCUGACGAAAUGGUUUUAAACGACCCGUCUUGAAACACGGACCAAGGAGUCCAACACAUAUGCGAGUGUUUGGGUGGCAAACCCGAGCGCGGAAUGAAAGUAAAUGUAGGUGGGAUCCUUGCGGAGCACCAUCGACCGGUCUGGAUUCUUUUUGAAAGAUCUGAGUAAGAGCAUAUUUGUUGGGACCCGAAAGAUGGUGAACUAUGCCUGAAUAGGGUGAAGUCAGAGGAAACUCUGAUGGAAGCUCGUAGCGGUUCUGACGUGCAAAUCGAUCGUCAAAUUUGGGUAUAGGGGCGAAAGACUAAUCGAACCAUCUAGUAGCUGGUUCCCUC